rnacentral:rRNA from 1 species
CACGUAGGGGGCAAGCGUUGUCCGGAAUCAUUGGGCGUAAAGCGCGUGUAGGCGGUCCGGUAAGUCCGCUGUGAAAGUCGGGGGCUUAACCCUCGGAUGCCGGUGGAUACUGUCGGGCUUGAGUACGGAAGAGGCGAGUGGAAUUCCUGGUGUAGCGGUGAAAUGCGCAGAUAUCAGGAGGAACACCAAUUGCGAAGGCAGCUCGCUGGGACGUUACUGACGCUGAGACGCGAAAGCGUGGGGAGCAAACAGG